CCUACGGGAGGCAGCAGUGGGGAAUAUUGCACAAUGGGGGAAACCCUGAUGCAGCGACGCCGCGUGAGUGCAGAAGUAUUUCGGGAUGUAAAGCUCUAUCAGCAGGGAAGAUCAUGACGGUACCUGACUCAGACGCACCGGCUAACUACGUUCCAGCAGCCGCGGUAAUACGUAGGGGGCAAGCGUUAUCCGGAUUUACUGGGUGUAAAGGGAGCGUUGGUGGCCAGGCAAGUCAGAGGUGAAACGCCGGGGCUCAACCAUGUCGAGCCGUCGGAUCUGGCAGUCUUGAGUGCGCGAGAAGUAUGCGGAAUGCGGGGUGUAGCGGUGAAAUGCAUAGAUAUAACGCAGAACGCCGAUUGCGAAGGCAGCAUACCGGCACCCAACUGACGCUGAGGCACGAAAGCGUGGGGAUCGAACAGGAUUAGAUACCCCGGUAGUC
rnacentral:rRNA from 1 species